rnacentral:misc_RNA from 1 species
GGGUGCAUGAAGUCUGGUGAAGUAUUCUCAGAACCGAGCCAUAAAUGGUACGAACCAGAUUGGUGGAAAUUUGGUGAUAAAAAAACAUACUUCCGUCAUGCUUCCGGCGAAAUGUAUGUCAUAUCAAAAGCUCUGGCCAAGUUCAUUUCAAUAAACAGAUCCCUUCUCCGUUCUUACGCCCAUGACGAUGUCACGACUGGUUCCUGGUUUAUCGGGCUUGAUGUCACGUACAUUGAUGAGGGGAAGUUUUGCUGCUCUUCUUGGUCUGCAGGAGCCAUUUGCGCAGGUGUCUGAUUGCUUCGCUUGAAGAUCCUUGAUUGGAAAAG